CUUACAACUGACCUUUCAUGGCAUCCCAUAUUGUAAACACAACUGUCAUCUGGAUGGAGUCAGGAACCCUCAUUGAGCUUUUUAACAGUGGCUCCCUGCCUGUGUUCCAAGCAUACUCAAGACACAUCUUACAUUCAGACGAAAUGCUUUCUUCACUCAAUGUCUUCUCUGAAAAGCAGUCCUUCCGAUGCUCGAAACCUGUUUUCUUUGUUACUGCAAGCCUUCACUGUCCUCGUGGUUGGUCUCUAUGAUGGGGACCAAGUGUGCUGAUCUUUGAUUUAAUGAAGUCUUCACCUCUGCAGAAGCAAUCUGCUACCAAAAUCUUUCUCUCACUUAACAGGUAAAAGUUCAUACACUGAUUGUGCACACAACGAAUGAAAAUUUCUUAGGCUCAGAAAUUCCUUCUAACAUUCAUUGUAUAGAUGUAUAUGAUGAAGGUUUUUGCAUAUUUGGCCUCCUUGAAUACUGAAUGUGAGUAGCGCACCACCAACAUUUUCAUGAAGCCUUACGCAGUCUUUGAAAUUACAGUUACGGUUUUCCGUGGAGGACAACCGCAGGCAGGGUCCUCGAUCAUAGUAACGCAUUUUCUAUGCCAUAGCUGCUGACACUGUCACACACAGUAUACUUUUCUCCAUCUACUGUGCUUGUCUGUGAUUUGCAUGCCAGGCAAGGAGUGCAUGAGAGUCUAAUGUGAUUUAUUCAUACUGUGUCGCACAAAAAACUACAGACUUUUUUUAGCAGGCUGGCAUAUGUCACCCAUUUAGGUGUGUCAUCAUAUCCUCUCUGUGACACAGUAGGACACGUGUAGCUCAUUGCUCCAUGGUCAUAUAUUUCACUGAGCCUAAGCCGAAAACAUUCAAUCACAGUAUCAUACAACCGGACCUUACAAAACAGUUCCAAAAUUCGUUUCGGGACUCUCCCUUUUUAUUUUUCAGAAAUUUCUGUAUUUAGGGACUUCGACUCAAAUGUUAGUGUCAUUUUUGGAAAAUGUAGAAUAGCAUAUCCUUUGGAUUUGUUGUGUAGUCCACAUGUUGAUACUAAAGGAUAUGUUGAUAUGUGUCUUGCCUUCUUUCUCCCAU